rnacentral:rRNA from 1 species
UUGGGGAGCCGGGCUACCUGCAGUCGACGAGAAGGGAUUGCUUGCAAUCCUGAGUAGAGUGGCGCACGGGUGAGUAACACGUAGAUAAUCUGCCUUCAAGCCCGGGAUAACUAUUCGAAAGGGUAGCUAAUACCGGAUAAAGUCGGUUUACAUAAGUAAACUGAUGAAAGAUUGCCUCUUCUUGAAAGCAAUUGUUUGGGGAUGAGUCUGCGUACCAUUAGCUUGUUGGUGGGGUAAAGGCCUACCAAGGCGACGAUGGUUAGCUGGUCUGAGAGGAUGAUCAGCCACACUGGAACUGGAACACGGUCCAGACUCCUACGGGAGGCAGCAGUGAGGAAUUUUGCGCAAUGGGGGAAACCCUGACGCAGCAACGCCGCGUGAGUGAAGAAGGCCUUUGGGUCGUAAAGCUCUGUCAACUGGGAAGAAGUUAACAGCAAUUAAUAGUUGUUGUUAUUGACGGUACCAGUGGAGGAAGCGCCGGCUAACUCCGUGCCAGCAGCCGCGGUAACACGGGGGGCGCAAGCGUUAUUCGGAAUUAUUGGGCGUAAAGGGCGCGCAGGCGGUCUUGUCGGUCAGGUGUGAAAGCUCGGGGCUCAACCCCGGAAGUGCACUUGAAACAGCAAGACUUGAAUACGGGAGAGGAGAGAGGAAUUCCUGGUGUAGAGGUGAAAUUCGUAGAUAUCAGGAGGAACACCGAUGGCGAAGGCAUCUCUCUGGACCGAUAUUGACGCUGAGGCGCGAAGGCGUGGGUAGCGAACGGGAUUAGAUACCCCGGUAGUCCACGCAGUAAACGUUGUACACUCGGUGUGGCGGAUAUUAAAAUCUGCUGUGCCCAGCUAACGCAUUAAGUG